GUGAAAUUGUUGAAAGGGAAGCGCUUGCGAUCAGACUCGCCCGGGGAGGUUCAGCCGGCACUUGUGCCGGUGCAUUCCUGCCCGGGCGGGCCAGCGUCGGUUUGGACGGCCCGUCAAAGGCUCCCGGAAGGUAGCGCCCCGCUCGGGGCGUCUUAUAGCCGGGGGUGCCAUGCGGCCUGUCCGGACCGAGGAACGCGCCUUCGGGCUCGGACGCUGGCGUAAUGGUCGUAAGCGGCCCGUCUUGAAACACGGACCAAGGAGUCUAACAUCCACGCGAGUGUUCGGGUGUUCAAAACCCGUCCGCGCAGUGAAAGCGAACGGAGGUGGGAACCCCCUUCCCGGGGGGUGCACCAUCGACCGAUCCUGAUGUCUUCGGAUGGAUUUGAGUAGGAGCGUGGCUGUUGGGACCCGAAAGAUGGUGAACUAUGCCUGAAUAGGGCGAAGCCAGAGGAAACUCUGGUGGAGGCUCGCAGCGAUUCUGACGUGCAAAUCAAUCGUCAAAUUUGGGUAUAGGGGCGAA
rnacentral:rRNA from 1 species